CACUAGUUUUUCAGUUAUAUUUUAUUAUUUCUUUUGAAACUUUUGGCUACUAGAGAGAUAAGAAUUCUAUUCUAAAGCAUGUUUUCUUUGGAAUCGAAAGCUUAGUUUUCUUUAGCAUACCCUUCUUUUCAAUGAAAGUCACCGUACCUUUAAAUUUUCAUUCCCAUAAUUUUAUCCCAAUUCCCUUUAUUUGAAAUGCUGCUACCUAUUAUUUUUAUUGAUUCCAAUUGAGUUGCUGUUUUGCACAUCUGUUCUGAUACGUGUUUCAAUUCUAUAAGUUUUCUUGUUACUGCACUUAUUUAUUAUAAUUCAUUCAACUUCAUAUUGCUUGCUAUUCUAAUUGAGUUUCUUUUCCGGCUGCUAUUACUACACAUAUAUUCCAAAUCCAUUUGGCUGCCGUAUUCAAUUGUUGCUGUCGUUUUAUUGUUUUGUCCCGUAUUCCAUACCUAUAACCAGACCAUGUUGCAUGUGGCUCUUCUGUUUCGAUACCAAUCUCUUUGAAUUGCUAGUUUAAUUUGCUUUAAUUAAAGUUCAAGUUGUUGCUUCUGUUAGGUGCUGCUGCUACCAAUUCAAUUAACUUUGAUUGAAUUGCUUUGGUACGCUGUACUACUUUCUUUUAAUUUGUUUUAAUUAAAGUUCAUGUUGGUGCUUCUGUUAGGUGCUGCUGUUAUCAAUUCAAUCAACUUUGAUUGAAUUGCUUUGGUACGCUGUACUACUUCACGCUGUACUACUAUUGAAAGACGAUGCAGAAAUGGAGGUUAAGAAUGUACUUAUUCCAAAUGAUGAACCUCAAAAACUAGUAGGCAAGUAGCCAAGUCUCUAACAAUAAGCCUCUAGGGAUCUACUUGGGAUUGGGCGAGAAUGCUUUGAGAUGUUGAGGCCCUUGGGUUAUAGUCUUUUGGCAGAAAUUGCACAUCAUGUUUGGCAAGAUCUGUUUCAAUCACAUGUAUGCUAUUCCAUAGUGGUUAUUUUUGACAAAUAUAUCAUAAAGUAAUUAUAGUUUAAUUGCGCAAUAAGUUACAAUCAUGACUUGCGUGACAUUAUUGAUUAUUUUCAUGUUAGGAACUCAAGAAACCUUAUUGUAUCACUUGUUUGUAUUUUAUGUAAAUGUAAAAUUCAUAUUUUAGUUUA